rnacentral:rRNA from 1 species
AUUGAACGCUGGCGGCAGGCCUAACACAUGCAAGUCGAACGGUAACAGGAAGAUGCUUGCUUCUUUGCUGACGAGUGGCGGACGGGUGAGUAAUGUCUGGGAAACUGCCUGAUGGAGGGGGAUAACUACUGGAAACGGUAGCUAAUACCGCAUAACGUCGCAAGACCAAAGAGGGGGACCUUCGGGCCUCUUGCCAUCGGCUGUGCCCAGGUGGGAUUAGCUAGUAGGUGGGGUAACGGCUCACCUAGGCGACGAUCCCUAGCUGGUCUGAGAGGAUGACCAGCCACACUGGAACUGAGACACGGUCCAGACUCCUACGGGAGGCAGCAGUGGGGAAUAUUGCACAAUGGGCGCAAGCCUGAUGCAGCCAUGCCGCGUGUAUGAAGAAGGCCUUCGGGUUGUAAAGUACUUUCAGCGGGGAGGAAGGGAGUAAAGUUAAUACCUUUGCUCAUUGACGUUACCCGCAGAAGAAGCACCGGCUAACUCCGUG